UGGCGGAUCACUUAGUAUUAAUUCGUCGCUCGAGCCAAGUUCUUUUAUAUAAAUAUGCACAUUUCUGGUUCGCCUUACUAACUGGCUAAUUGCCUUGCAAGUAUUCGUACCGCUUUUUAUGCAAAGCUGGGUAUCCACAUAUUUUGAUCUGAUCAAGACAGACUAAAAAACAGAGAAACGAUUUCGAAAUGACAGAUGGCAUAUAUUGUACUGGUACCAAGCAAGCAAUUACAGUGUAAAUUAUACCAAGAUCUCUAAACACUACACUCCGGAGUCUAGACUCAAUUUGCUGGAAUUAUUGGGGAAAAUUAUGAAACGAGGGAGAUCGAUGCCAUGAAGAUAUACAGUUGAUAGAUUUUACCAGACGUGCAUAAGGGGCAUGUACACCAUAUUAUCAUCUUAGAUUUCCCUACUGUGUAUAACUGGAAAUUGCUAGUUUUAGAUAGUACAUCAUAUCUAUGACGCACAUAUAAAUAAAACACAAGAAUAUAUAAUCUUCUUCAUAUUAUAAAUAUCUUCUUGUACCAACCACUGCUACACAAAGAAUGGCUAGUUUUGUACAGCAGCUAGCUUAAUAACUUAUAUUUUAACUAAUAAACACAAUUUUUAUAUAUUGAAGAAUAACACAUCUACUGGGUGGAGUACAUGAGUUUGCCAGUUGUUCUCUGGCUUAGUGAAUGGUCGCCCAGCUAUGUUCCAGAAUGCAGUAUUGUUUUAUAUAUAGGGAUCUCACGUGUGAGUACUGUCCAUGAUAUUUCAACAAGGACAACAUACAAGCUGCAUGCUUGUACUAUGCAGUUUGUGCUAUGGCUGUAAACAAUAAUAAGUGAUCUAAUUACAACAGGUCACAAAACAGUAAAGGAUAUAUUUUACUAUAUUUCAUUACAUACACUUCGGUGUAAAAAAUAGUUUAUUUACUAAACAAAGCAAAAUAGAUCAGUAUAAGGGAGCAUUCAUCAGAUAAUUGAGUCAGCCAUUAAUUAAGCCAUAAUUGAGUUUUAACACAGUCAAUAAAAGGUGCAUUUUAAGCGCA